rnacentral:rRNA from 1 species
AUUGAACGCUGGCGGCAUGCCUUACACAUGCAAGUCGAACGGCAGCAUGAUCUAGCUUGCUAGAUUGAUGGCGAGUGGCAAACGGGUGAGUAAUACAUCGGAACGUGCCCUGUAGUGGGGGAUAACUAGUCGAAAGAUUAGCUAAUACCGCAUACAACCUGAGGGUGAAAGUGGGGGACCGCAAGGCCUCAUGCUAUAGGAGCGGCCGAUGUCUGAUUAGCUAGUUGGUGAGGUAAAGGCUCACCAAGGCGACGAUCAGUAGCUGGUCUGAGAGGACGAUCAGCCACACUGGGACUGAGACACGGCCCAGACUCCUACGGGAGGCAGCAGUGGGGAAUUUUGGACAAUGGGCGAAAGCCUGAUCCAGCAAUGCCGCGUGUGUGAAGAAGGCCUUCGGGUUGUAAAGCACUUUUGUCCGGAAAGAAAUGGCUCUGGUUAAUACCUGGGGUCGAUGACGGUACCGGAAGAAUAAGGACCGGCUAACUACGUG